rnacentral:rRNA from 1 species
AUUGAACGCUGGCGGCAGGCCUAACACAUGCAAGUCGAGCGGAUGAAGGGAGCUUGCUCCUGGAUUCAGCGGCGGACGGGUGAGUAAUGCCUAGGAAUCUGCCUGGUAGUGGGGGAUAACGUCCGGAAACGGGCGCUAAUACCGCAUACGUCCUGAGGGAGAAAGUGGGGGAUCUUCGGACCUCACGCUAUCAGAUGAGCCUAGGUCGGAUUAGCUAGUUGGUGGGGUAAAGGCCUACCAAGGCGACGAUCCGUAACUGGUCUGAGAGGAUGAUCAGUCACACUGGAACUGAGACACGGUCCAGACUCCUACGGGAGGCAGCAGUGGGGAAUAUUGGACAAUGGGCGAAAGCCUGACCCAGCCAUGCCGCGUGUGUGAAGAAGGUCUUCGGAUUGUAAAGCACUUUAAGUUGGGAGGAAGGGCAGUAAGUUAACACCUUGCUGUUUUGACGUUACCAACAGAAUAAGCACCGGCUAACUUCGUG